rnacentral:rRNA from 1 species
AGCGAACGCUGGCGGUAGGCCUAACACAUGCAAGUCGAACGGCAGCACAGUAAGAGUUUGCUCUUACGGGUGGCGAGUGGCGGACGGGUGAGGAAUAUAUCGGAAUCUACUCUUUCGUGGGGGUUAACGUAGGGAAACUUACGCCAAUACCGCAUACGACCUACGGGUGAAAGCAGGGGAUCUUUGGACCUUGCGCGAUUGAAUGAGCCGAUGUCGGAUUAGUUAGUUGGCGGGGUAAAGGCCAACCAAGGCGACGAUCCGUAGCUGGUCUGAGUGGAUGAUCAGCCACACGGGAGCGGGGACGGGGUCCAGACUCCUACGAGAGGCAGCAGUGGGGAAUAUGAGACAAUGGGCGCAAACCUGGUCCAGCCAUACCGCGUGGGUGAAGAAGGCCUUCGGGUUGUGAAGCCCUUUUGUUGGGAGAGAAAAGCAGCAGGUUAAUACCCCGCUGUUCUGACGGUACCCAAAGAAUAAGCACCGGCUAACUUCGUG